AGUAGGCAAAGUAGCCCUAGUCUAGUUCUCCUGUCUGCUUAUCCUGAGCUAAGAUGAACCAGAUGUGCCUCGCUUUUACUACAUGUCUUUCACAUGCCAUCAUCUCUGUCUAGAAUGCUUAUUCUACUUCUCUAGCAACAAGUUACCUGCCAUGUAAUGUGCCUUCACUAAGGCCAUACCAUUGCUAUACUUUCUACUUGGGAUCCUGCUUGCUCACUGACCUGUUCUGCCUGCUCAGAUUUUCCUACUACCAGCUACUUAGAACACACACCAGAGGCCGCGUCCUGUCUUCCCAUUGUCCAUUGCCCUGGCCUUUACCACAUUCUUGUUCCUCUGUUCAUCAAUUACCCCUCCCCCUGAGAUGGGGUAGAACACAGCAAAAUGAGCGUAUGUGUAUGAAGGUUAACCCGACGACAGAACUUCACACUGGAGGUAACAUUCUACAAGUAUUUAUUUCAUUCUGACCAUUAAGUUGCAGCAUGCAACUCCCAACAGUGAGCUGCCACCCUCCAUUCUUAGGUAAGCACCAAGCACUAUGGUGCGACUACUUAGGGUUUUCAGUCUUCCAAAGGUUUUUAUUGCCAAUAUCAUUAUUUAUGGGGUAAGCCUUUUAAAGACUUAAAAGCACUUAUUCUCUAUAAAAAGUCAUUUUGUAUUUCAUGCAUAAAACUCUAAUUGGCAGAUAUGUUCAUAAUAGAAGAACAUUUAUUCUAGUUCUGAACUUACUAGGAAUACAAUAAGCAUCCCUACCAGGCUUCUCAUAAGGAAGUGAGACUGUUGUCCUCCGCCAGGAAUAGGGCAGCAGUGAUGAUCCCUAGGGUUAUAAAACCGCUUACCAAAAGUCUCUUCAAAGAUGCUAAGAAAUAAGACACUGGCUCGUUUUCCAGUACAAUUUAAAGAGAUGUUUGCAGUGUGCGCAGGACUUAUAGGUUAUAUUAUAGCCCCUUGUGAUAAUACUCAAAAGGCCUAUUCUUCCCACUUAUAAAAUUCUACCUCAGAAGGUGAAAGGAGAUAUCCCCAUUAUCCCUGAGCAAAAAGGGGAAAGAAGACUGAUGUACUCCCAUUGCUUACAGAAGUCACUGUCCGUGAGUCAUUUAUAUCUAAAACAUUCUUGCAGAAUUUACAUAAGCUGAAACAGAAAUGAGGGACUGGCUCUCAGAGGUGUCCUUCAUAAGUUAUGUGAGUGUUUGUGUCUGAGUAGCUGAUCUGCAAAGAUAAUAAAUUUAACUAACUAC
rnacentral:lncRNA from 1 species